UACGGGGGGGAGCAAGCGUUGUUCGGAUUUACUGGGCGUAAAGGGCGCGUAGGCGGUCAGCACAAGUCAGUUGUGAAAUCUCCGGGCUUAACUCGGAAAGGUCAACUGAUACUGUGCGACUAGAGUGCAGAAGGGGCAACUGGAAUUCUCGGUGUAGCGGUGGAAAUGCGUAGAUAUCGAGAGGAACACCUGCGGCGAAGGCGGGUUGCUGGGCUGACACUGACGCUGAUGCGCGAAAGCCAGGGGAGCGAACGGG
rnacentral:rRNA from 1 species